GCAUUGGUGGUUCAGUGGUAGAAUUAUCGCCUGCCACGCGGGAGGCCUGGGUUUGUUUCCCGGCUAAUGGA
rfam:Salmo salar isolate Sally breed double haploid chromosome ssa11, whole genome shotgun sequence.